rnacentral:rRNA from 1 species
AGUGAACGCUGGCGGCGUGCCUAACACAUGCAAGUCGAACGAGAACGGGAGUAGCUUGCUACUCUGUCAGCUAAGUGGCGCACGGGUGAGUAAUGUAUAGCUUACAUGCCUCUUAGUAGGGAAUAACAGUUAGAAAUGACUGCUAAUACCCUAUACUCCUUUAUAGUGGGAACUAUAAAGGGAAAGAUUUAUCGCUAAGAGAUUGGACUAUAUGAUAUCAGAUUGUUGGUGAGGUAAAAGCUCACCAAGUCUAUGACGUCUAACUGGUUUGAGAGGAUGAUCAGUCACACUGGAACUGAGACACGGUCCAGACUCCUACGGGAGGCAGCAGUGGGGAAUAUUGCACAAUGGAGGAAACUCUGAUGCAGCAACGCCGCGUGGAGGAUGAAGGUUUUCGAAUCGUAAACUCCUUUUAUGUUAGAAGAUAAUGACGGUAUAACAUGAAUAAGCACCGGCUAACUCCGUGCCAGCCGCCGCCGUAA